rnacentral:rRNA from 1 species
GACGUAGGGCGCGAGCGUUGUCCGGAUUUAUUGGGCGUAAAGAGCGUGUAGGCGGCCAGGUAGGUCUGCUGUGAAAACUCGAGGCUCAACCUCGAGACGUCGGCGGAAACCAUCUGGCUAGAGUCCGGAAGAGGAGAGUGGAAUUCCUGGUGUAGCAGUGAAAUGCGUAGAUAUCAGGAGGAAUACCGAUGGCGAAGGCAGGUCUCUGGGCUAUAACUGACGCUCAUGCACGAAAGCGUGGGGAGCAAACAGG